rnacentral:lncRNA from 1 species
CCAAAUCCAUUUCUUCAUUGCCAAAGAAAUAAAUCAAAGGUGGGGCCACAUAUCAGACAUAAACAUUACUUACACGAAAAAGGUUGCUACAUACUUGAUAAUGUCAAGAAGUAUGGGAACAGUCAAAGCAUUUUUGAAUAUCUGCGGCAAUGCACUUGGAGAUAUAGCCUGUAUAGAAAUAACACAAAAAAUAAUAACAUGAAACAAAGUAACAGCAUAAAUGGAAAGUCAGAAUGAGUGAUGAUUUCCUAAACAAAUACCAACUGCAUUCACAAUCCUUUAUGGACAUUUGAAAUUGUUCAAAAGGGACACAACAAAUCGGGAACUUCUUGGAUGGCCCCUAGCAUGCAGAAGCCAGAUAGGCAGACUGACAAUGCAAUUACUGGUAUACUUCUGGCACCCAUCCAAAGAGGACAAUAGACGAGACUAAUAGAAUCUUUACAGUGGUCAACUGCGCGGAUGACCACCAUGCAAAAAGAACACAUUCAUGGUCACCUACUUUGGGAUGACAACGAACACAUGAAUCUUGCAUUUUGGCAAACUAUAUUUUUUACAGUAAACCACAUGAAUACUUUUGCAGACAUUCAACAGGCUAGUCUGUCGAGCAUUAUCUCCAGAGAGUCCUCGCUAAGAAAC